CCGCUUUGGAAAUUUCAAAUGCAGACGUAGCUGCUCCUUAAACACAGCAGCUGGAGUAGCCGCAAGCAGCGGCACCCUGAGCCACAGCUGCUCAUUUGCGACGUGUCCUGCCCUUAACAUCUCUGCAGGCUACAAACCAGCUCCGGGGAAGCGCAGGCAGCGAGGAGGUGCCGCCGGCGCUGGCACCGCCCGGAGCUCCGCAGUCACAUGCACCGCGGAGGAGCCCCUCUGCCCUGCCCGGCAAUGGGAGGGUCGCGCAGCGCAGCCCCCCGCGGCAAAAGAAAACUGAUCAAUGAAUGCGGGCUGCAGGAUGGUGUGGAUCCACUUGAAAAAACACUGCCCAUUAUUUUCCGGAUGGACAUCACUACAUUUUCAUGACUUGCUUCUAUGACUCCAAGACCCUACUGAAUAAGCAACCUAGCUUUAAUCCACACCAAGCUCCCAGUAGCUAUUGUGCCAGGAGAGGAGUGUCUUUUGCAGCUGUGCCGACAGAGGAGAAAACUGCCUGUUCCCCUGCAUUGCUCAAGUCACACACACAACGCCGCAGCAGGAUAGGCACCGAGCGGGGUGUUUCCACCGUUGUGCUCCAGUACUGUCAGUUGCCCGUCUCUCCCAGUAGAUGAUGCUAAAGUGCGAUUAUUUUGAGCAACUUUAAGGAAUUUGAGCUGUUUAAGGGAAGAAUGAAACAAAAUAGGGCAUGUUAAUUAAAUAGCUCAUUAGAAGUGAUUCUUUUUGACAGACAGGUAAGACCUAUACUGAAAAUCAGGGACCCACAGUUCAAAUCCCUUGUAAAAGUAGCAGGAUCAGUCCCUCAGGAUGCUGUAAGAAACACCCCCAGUCUCAAACCUGAACGUACUUCGGUGUUUUCACAGACCUUAGCUCAGAAGCGCAAGCUCAGUGUGGGGAUAUUGUUCAGCAAUCUCACCAUCUUUUCAUGCGAUUUUUCCUGUCAUCAGAAGAGCUCUGCCUAAAUCAGAAUGACUCGCUGACAUUUUGGUAAGCUCGGGCCUCGGAGCUGCAACUCCAUGGCUGUAAAAGUCUCUAUUUAAUACCUGGCAGACGACUCUCCCACGCUCAGUGUGAUCAGCCCUCAGAGCACAAAUCAUUUGCAAUGAAAGAUCCUGCAAGAAGGGCCUCUACUUUCUAGAUACGUUUCGAACAGACCUACUUGUAACGACAGAAGGAAGAAAUGUAUCCGUGCAGGUUUCCAAGCUAAGCGGAUAAUCCUUGACCAAGCAAGACAAAGGCUGGAACAGGAAAAAGAAGGGCAGAGAUGUGAAGUGAUGCCCCAUGGCUCCCCAGCAGAUGAAAGGCACAUCAGAAACAGAAUCCAGGUCACCUCAUUCACAGUCCACUGCCAUGUCCACUGGCCCACGCUGCUGCUAUACUGCCGCACUGGUCUGGUUUGACGUACAUUGGAACUAUGACAUAAACACGCCAGUUCUCUAUGCUAUGCUAUAGAUGCAACCAUAAGGUUUCCUUGCUACUAGUUGACCCUUUCUGCUGUUAGAGAUAUGUAUUUGGACACUUGGAAAUACUGAGGAGUAUGACAUCCCUGUUUUCUUUAAGGCAACUGAAGAAUGCAGCAUGUGUGAACUGUAACUCAGGUGCCUGGAAUGAACUUCCAAGAGCUUUAUAAUCACUUUCCUAAUACAGAUUGAAAAAAAAAAAACCCCAAAGGAUACAACAAAUGAUACAUUUCAAAAAGAAUAUUGCUCUUAGGCGGGUACUAACAAGGCUAAAAGACUCUGGUAUCCAAAAGAGGAUUCUUCCCCGUACUAGGAGGAAGCCCUGCAGAGAUUGUCAAAUAAGUGAGUAGUAUUUUCACGACGUGCCCUAAGAGGAUGCUCGCAUGCUCUGUUCAGGGUGCAGUGCCAGUCUUCUUUCUAGUUUAAAUCAGAAACAACAUUUUUUGUAAAGUUGCUUUUAGGACUUGACAUUCACUACGGGCCAAAUUCUUCUCUGAUUUGCACCAUAUGCAGUCUAACAGAGAUAAAUGGACGUACGCAGGUUAUUAGGCAGAACGACACUGGCCCUUUGAGUCCCACAUGCUGUCCACAUGCUGCUUACUCUUUGUUGAAGGGCACUCAGGCAAAGUGGUCCCCACUCCACAACUCUGAAGUGCAUUCCUCCCAAAGCCUGCCCCUUCCUAUUUUACCCAUCCAAGAUGAGGCCCGUUAGAAGAGGAAGCCAAAGGCACAAAAGAUGCGUCGCCCCUUGAAAUCCAUCCCCUUUCUCCCCCUCUCACCUCCAAAUCCGUCCACCCCACUAAAUGCUUCCAUCCUUGGAGUCUCUUCACUGCACAGUUUGAGCAGCAGCUGCCUCAGUUUCCUUCAAGUGGUCUCUUUUUCGAGUGCAUAUUCAGGAGUUCCCACCUCUCCCCUCUUGAGCUUUGUCUUAAAGCGAUUCAGUCUGAUGCAGAAACUUCACUGCCUGGGAAACUUGCCUAUGAAUUGCUUUUGUGUGUAGC